rnacentral:rRNA from 1 species
GACGAACGCUGGCGGCGUGCUUAACACAUGCAAGUCGAGCGGUAAGGCCCUUUCGGGGGUACACGAGCGGCGAACGGGUGAGUAACACGUGGGUGACCUGCCCUUAGCUCUGGGAUAAGCCUGGGAAACUGGGUCUAAAUACCGGAUAUGACUCCAUGACGCAUGUUGUGGGGUGGAAAGCCUUGUGCGGCUAGGGAUGGGCCUGCGGCCUAUCAGCUUGUUGGUGGGGUGANGGCCUACCAAGGCGACGACGGGUAGCCGGCCUGAGAGGGCGACCGGCCACACUGGGACUGAGACACGGCCCAGACUCCUAC